CAAAAGGAAUUAUUUUUUUCUAUUAAGUAUCAUUACUAUACUAUUAGUUAUGUAAAGGCGCUCGAAGAUUUUUACUCUCCUUUUCUAUUUUUUUCAAUUGGAUGUAAUGUUUUGACAAUAAGUUUUACAUUACUUCAGAUAGCAAUUUCAUUGGAUGACGCAUUAUUUAUUGUGAAACAAAUAUUCAUUGUAAAUGCAGUUUUGGUUCAUGCAUAUUAUCUUGGAAUGCCUGCUCAAAAUUUAAUAAAUCAAAGUACUGCUAUUUCAUUUGAUAUUUACGACAGUGAAUGGUAUAAAUUGCCAAUUAAAAUUCAAAAAUUACUACCAUUUAUAAUUGUAAAAAGUCAAAUACCAUCUUACUUGACUGCUGGAAAAAUUGCAAUAAUGAAUUUGGAAACUGUAACAAACGUAAGAAUAUAUAUAAAUAAGAUACCAAAAAAAUAUCAUUUUAGAAAAAUAAAAAAUGAUUUUUUUAUUAAAUCUUGUUAUUUUUAUAUGUGAAGAUUAUAAAAAUGUCAUUCUCCUACUUUACAAUGCUAUUGUCAGUCCGUCAAUUAUCAUAAAUGAGAUGAAAGCAAAAAAAAAAAAAAAAAA